rnacentral:rRNA from 1 species
GAUGAACGCUGGCGGCGUGCCUAAUACAUGCAAGUCGAGCGAACGGACGAGAAGCUUGCUUCUCUGAUGUUAGCGGCGGACGGGUGAGUAACACGUGGAUAACCUACCUAUAAGACUGGGAUAACUUCGGGAAACCGGAGCUAAUACCGGAUAAUAUUUUGAACCGCAUGGUUCAAAAGUGAAAGACGGUCUUGCUGUCACUUAUAGAUGGAUCCGCGCUGCAUUAGCUAGUUGGUAAGGUAACGGCUUACCAAGGCAACGAUGCACAGCCGACCUGAGAGAGUGAUCGGCCACACUGGAACUGAGACACGGUCCAGACUCCUACGGGAGGCAGCAGUAGGGAAUCUGCCGCAAUGGGCGAAAGCCUGACGGAGCAACGCCGCGUGAGUGAUGAAGGUCUUCGGAUCGUAAAACUCUGUUAUUAGGGAAGAACAUAUGUGUAAGUAACUGUGCACAUCUUGACGGUACCUAAUCAGAAAGCCACGGCUAACUACGUG